GGAAUUCGAUUAGGCCUAACACAUGCAAGUCGAACGGUAACAGGUUAAGCUGACGAGUAAAAAACGGGUGACUAAUGCAUCGGAACGUUUCCGGUGGUGGGGGAUAUCGCAGUGAAAGCUGCGCUAAUGCCGCAUACGAUGUGAGGAUGAAAUCGGGGGGCCGUUAGUCCUCGCGCGAUCGGAGCGGAUGAUGUCAGAUUAGGUAGUUGGUGGGGUAAAGGCUCACCAAGCCAAUGAUCUGUAGCUGGUCUGAG
rnacentral:rRNA from 1 species